rnacentral:rRNA from 1 species
UACGUAGGUGGCAAGCGUUGUCCGGAUUUACUGGGCGUAAAGAGCGCGCAGGCGGUCGGAUUAGUCGCGUGUGAAAGCCCCCCGGCUCAACUGGGGAGGGUCACGCGAUACUGUUCGACUCGAAGGCAGGAGAGGGAAGUGGAAUUCCCGGUGUAGUGGUGAAAUGACGUAGAUAUCGGGAGGAACACCAGUGGCGAAGGCGACUUCCUGGCCUGUUCUUGACGCUGAGGCGCGAAAGCUAGGGUAGCAAACGGG